rnacentral:rRNA from 1 species
GUGGGGAAUCUUGCGCAAUGGGCGAAAGCCUGACGCAGCCAUGCCGCGUGAAUGAUGAAGGUCUUAGGAUUGUAAAAUUCUUUCACCGGGGACGAUAAUGACGGUACCCGGAGAAGAAGCUCCGGCUAACUUCGUGCCAGCAGCCGCGGUAAUACGAAGGGGGCUAGCGUUGCUCGGAAUUACUGGGCGUAAAGGGCGCGUAGGCGGACAGCUUAGUCAGAGGUGAAAGCCCAGGGCUCAACCUUGGAAUUGCCUUUGAUACUGGCUGUCUUGAGUUUGGGAGAGGUGAGUGGAACUCCGAGUGGAGAGGUGAAAUGCGUAGAUAGUCGGAAGAACACCAGUGGCGAAGGGGACUCACUGGCCCAAUACUGACGCUGAGGCGCGAAAGCGUGGGGAGCAAACAGGAUUAGAUACCCGUGUAGUCC